rfam:Dehalobacter sp. CF, complete genome.
UGACCGUUCUCUGCAGAAGCUAUAGAGGACCAAGGCCAUACGGACAGCCGGGUCAAAAGCCGA